rnacentral:rRNA from 1 species
AGCGAACGCUGGCGGCAGGCCUAACACAUGCAAGUCGAACGAACCUUUCGGGGUUAGUGGCGGACGGGUGAGUACCACGUGGGAACGUGCCUUUAGGUUCGGAAUAACUCAGGGAAACUUGUGCUCAUACCGAAUGUGCCCUUCGGGGGAAAGAUUUAUCGCCUUUAGAGCGGCCCGCGUCUGAUUAGCUAGUUGGUUGAGGUAAUGGCUCACCAAGGCGACGAUCAGUAGCUGGUCCGAGAGGAUGAUCAGCCACAUUGGGACUGAGACACGGACCAAACUCCUACGGGAGGCAGCAGUAGGGAAUCUUGCGCAAGGGGCGAAAGCCUGACGCAGCCAUGCCGCGUGAAUGAGGAAGGUCUUAGGAUUGUAAAAUUCUUUCACCGGGGACGAUAAUGACGGUACCCGGAGAAGAAGCCCCGGCUAACUUCGUG